AUGUCUCCCUUCUCCACUUCGGCGGGAAGAGCACCGGCUUUUCCAAGCGCCUUCCUCCGGUCCGGACCCACCAGGUGUCGAGGCGCGGAAGGCGGCCGGGCUGUUAUUCUCCUCUGCCUUGAGGCGGGACGGUUCCAAGACGUCCGAGCCUCCUCCGUGGAGGGUCCAGUCCCGGAGGCAGAGGCUCCGGGGCUGUUUCGGGCGGACGCCGGAGCAACGCGGCCGGUCAGGGCCCAGCGCUUGGCUUUCUCGGCGUCGGACCCCCUGGGAGCCCCUCCGUGGGAAACGAUGCGCAGCCACCUCGGGUGGAAUCGGGGAAGCUUUAAUGCAGAAAAAAAGGAAAGAAAGGUGGCAGCAUUCGACCGCAGUAGGGCAAUCUGUUUUGCUGUGGACGUGUUUUUGCUCCCUGAACACUUGUGAGGUGCAGGAUACAGUUGUUUCUACUGAGGGUACAAGUGAGAGACUCAGAGAUGGCCCCCAUUCAUGAUCUGCGAAACCAAUUUCAUUACAGUCCGAAAGAAGAGGACCACGCUACUCUGGAAGUAAAAUAAUGGCAACAAAUAAUGGACAAUAUUUCACGGCCAUGUCAUGACUGGAAACGUCUUGGAAGAUGCAGGUUUGAACUGACAUCUUAUAGCAUAUUUUCUUACAUUAUAAAAAUAUCAUGGUCCGAAGAAAAAUUCACUUUCUCUGACAUAGAAUACUUUACAUAGCAUUCUGCCUUAAUACUUCCUACUUGAUUUUUCUUCUUUAUGUCGAUGAAUUUACAGAUUCUGUGUCUCUGUGGAAACUGAUCAUGGUCAAGUCACAUUUGAAUUCCACCUAGAGUGAGAUUUUUUUCCGUUCCUUUUCAGAUUUUGGUCCUUACAGUUUAAGUCAAGUCCUAGAUCUAUGAGAGGUUUCUUUCCCCAGCCUCUUUGUCGUAGGCCUGCAUUUAGUUUGCAGUUUUCAUUAUUAAUAUACCUGGCUUUUCCACCCAAAACGCAGCUAAGAGUGAUAAAGCUCAAAGUAAGAAUGAAGUCUUGAUAAAACACAGCAAAAACAAAUUAAUUGGAAAUACGAUAAAAGGUAUAGCCAGCUUCCUGUUUGUCAUUCCGUGCCUUAAAUCACACCUGGGAAAAAUUGCCUCUUCCGACUACAUCUCACAGAAGACUUCAACCAACACUGCCAUUAUCCAAAAAAGGUAGAUUUUUAUGGACUCUGCUUUAAGCAAGGAUUCUGAAAGAGCUUUGUUUUAAAUACCAGCUUUCCUACCAAAACCCUGACUGAAUAGAAAUCUGUGUGCUGUUUUAGAAGAUCUAAAAUUCUAUAGAUUGGCAGAGACAUGUUGUACAUUUCUCUGGGGAGGGGGGAGUGUGUGGCCUUUAAUUUCACAAUGAUUGAAUUCACACCAGUCAUUUUAUAUGGCGCCAGUCUUUUC
rnacentral:lncRNA from 1 species